UGGGGAAUAUUGGACAAUGGGGGCAACCCUGAUCCAGCCAUGCCGCGUGUGUGAAGAAGGCCUUUUGGUUGUAAAGCACUUUAAGCAGUGAAGAAAACUCCAUGGUUAAUACCCAUGGACGAUGACAUUAGCUGCAGAAUAAGCACCGGCUAACUCUGUGCCAGCAGCCGCGGUAAUACAGAGGGUGCAAGCGUUAAUCGGAAUUACUGGGCGUAAAGCGAGCGUAGGUGGCUUGAUAAGUCAGAUGUGAAAGCCCCGGGCUUAACCUGGGAACGGCAUCUGAUACUGUUAGGCUAGAGUAGGUGAGAGGAAGGUAGAAUUCCAGGUGUAGCGGUGAAAUGCGUAGAGAUCUGGAGGAAUACCGAUGGCGAAGGCAGCCUUCUGGCAUCAUACUGACACUGAGGUUCGAAAGCGUGGGUAGCAAACA
rnacentral:rRNA from 1 species